rnacentral:lncRNA from 1 species
AACAGACCAACAGUAGAGUCCAGGCACCUUUCAACUGCAGACAGGGCUUUCUGUGGUCUUGCUGCAGAUUCCACUGUUAGCUCCAGACACACACUGGUUUGUGCUGCCCUGUCACACAACUCCAGGCCUUGACUCCUUGCUAUGCACACUGCCUAGUGGCUGUCUGCCGUCUUCAACAGUCUUCCCCACGUCUUAGGACAGUGCAGGCAUUGUUUCCUUGUGUUUCUGGAACACCUGCUCUUGCUUCUAACAAAAGAACAGCACUUAAGUUUAUUACAAUUAUUGGUUUACCUUCUGUGAUCCCAUUUUCUGCUUUAUACUUUUCAUAGGAUGUUUACCCCAUACUCCUCAAUUUGAAUGAAAGCGCUGGGAAGGGGGACUCUGCCUGGACUAAGCUGUGUCCCAGGCUUCUACAAGAGGCCCUGGCCUACAGUAGGUGCUCAGUAGAUAUUUGUGAAUUAAAUUCUGUCUGUGGCACUAGACUGCGAGCCAGUCUUUAAUCUCUGCAAUCCUAGCACCUUGCUCAGUGUCUGUCACUCUAAUGAUAGUUGGAUGAAUCACUGAGAUAUUUGACUUCAUAACCAGGUUUCGGUCCACUCAGCGCUCUUAGUGAGGAAGAAUUAGGCAAAUACAACCCUGAAAGGGAAAAAAGGAGCCAAAUGGGGGAACAGCAUGGAAACCUGGAAAAGAGCAGAGGAAACAGACACAUAGAGACUGGACAAUGGUGGGGACCAGGGGAAGUUGUCUUAGUCCUGAUGGUAAGAAAGGUAUCAAGAAGGGGAUAAUUGUUGAUUGUUUCUAAACAACUCAAUUCUUGUUGGUAGUUUCCAAAGACAGCCCAGAGAUCACCCAGGGCCAUCUCCACAACCUGCCCUCCCCUUGAAAUGGCUCUGCACACAGUCUAACCCAGAGAGAGCAUUAACCCAGUACCAUGGUUAGGAGGGCGGAUUCUAGAGUCAGAGGACCAGGUCUCCAAUCCUAGUCCCACGCCUGACUGACUUUUUCCUGGGGCAAAACGUUCAAAUCCCCUACUACCCCAGCCUCCUCAUCUGUAAAAGGCUGUAUGUACUAAUGGUACCUGAUCCUAGGGCUGUUGUGAUAAAUAUGGUAAUCCACACAAGGUGCUUAACACUGUGGCUGGCACCUAGUAAGUGAUUAGUUGUGGCCUGUGUGGCACGCACUCUGCUGGGAACUGGGUAUGUAUGAAAUAGCUAAGGGGCCAAGUGCAUAGACUUCGGAAUGAGAUACAUAUGGCCUGGAUUGGGAGCUCAGGGAAGUACUUAGCCUCUCUGAAUCUCACAUCAUCGAGUGUAAAGUGAGGAUAAUAGCAACUGUUUACUGAGGCACAUCCAUUUGCCUGUGAUCCACACAACCAUCCUAUAAGGAUAUUACCUCAUGUACUCAUCACACAGUUUCAGUAAGUGUCAACUAGCGAUCACUUUAUAACCUCUACCUACCCCUCACCCUUGCCUAUCCCCAGUACCCUGGUUAUUUUCACACAAACCCCAGAUAGAACAUCACUUCAUCUGUCAAUAUACCUUAUAAUGUUUGU